rnacentral:rRNA from 1 species
CCUAAGUGGUUCUGACGCGCAAAUCGAUCACGAAACUUGGGCGUAGGGGCGAAAGACUAAUCGAACCAUCUAGUAGCUGGUUCCCUUCGAAGUUUCCCCCAGGAUAGCUGGCACUCGAAGAGACAGUUUCGUCCGGUAAAGCGAAUGAUUAGAGGAGUCCGUGCCGAAAUGGUGUGGAGCUAUUGUCAAACUUUGAACGGGCGCAAAGGGGUGCCUACCACUCAGAUCUGGGAGGCCGGC